AUUGAACGCUGGCGGCAGGCCUAACACAUGCAAGUCGAACGAGUGGCGGACGGGUGAGUAAUGUCUGGGAAACUGCCCGAUGGAGGGGGAUAACUACUGGAAACGGUAGCUAAUACCGCAUACCAUCGGAUGUGCCCAGAUGGGAUUAGCUUGUAGGUGAGGUAACGGCUCACCGAGGCGACGAUCCCUAGCUGGUCUGAGAGGAUGACCAGCCAAACUGUAACUGGGGCACGGUCCAUACUCCUACGUGGGGAAGAAGGGGGGAAUAUUGCAAAAUGGGCUCAAUCCUGUUGAAGCCAUGGCGCGUGUAUGAAGAAGGCCUUCGGGUUGUAAAGUACUUUCAGCGGGGAGGCGUUACCCGCCGAAGAAGCACCGGCUAACUCCGUGCCAGCAGCCGCGGUAAUCC
rnacentral:rRNA from 1 species